rnacentral:rRNA from 1 species
AGAGUUUGAUCCUGGCUCAGGACGAACGCUGGCGGCGUGCCUAACACAUGCAAGUCGAACGGGGUAAUUUCUUCGGAGAUUACUUAGUGGCGAACGGGUGAGUAACGCGUGAGAAACCUGCCUUUCAGUGGGGGACAACAGUUAGAAAUGACUGCUAAUACCGCAUAAUGUUAUUCGAGGGCAUCCUCGAAUAACCAAAGAUUUAUUGCUGAAAGAUGGUCUCGCGUCUGAUUAGCUAGUUGGUGAGGUAACGGCUCACCAAGGCGACGAUCAGUAGCCGGUCUGAGAGGAUGAACGGCCACAUUGGGACUGAGAUACGGCCCAGACUCCUACGGGAGGCAGCAGUGGGGAAUAUUGGGCAAUGGGGGAAACCCUGACCCAGCAACGCCGCGUGAAGGAAGAAGGCCUUCGGGUUGUAAACUUCUUUUACCAGGGACGAACAAAAUGACGGUACCUGGAGAAAAAGCAACGGCUAACUACGUGCCAGCAGCCGCGGUAAUACGUAGGUUGCAAGCGUUGUCCGGAUUUACUGGGUGUAAAGGGCGUGUAGGCGGAGAUGCAAGUUGGGAGUGAAAUCCCGGGGCUCAACCCCGGAACUGCUUUCAAAACUGCAUCCCUUGAGUAUCGGAGAGGCAAGCGGAAUUCCUAGUGUAGCGGUGAAAUGCGUAGAUAUUAGGAGGAACACCAGUGGCGAAGGCGGCUUGCUGGACGACAACUGACGCUGAGGCGCGAAAGCGUGGGGAGCAAACAGGAUUAGAUACCCUGGUAGUCCACGCUGUAAACGAUGAAUACUAGGUGUGGGAGGACUGACCCCUUCCGUGCCGCAGUUAACACAAUAAGUAUUCCACCUGGGGAGUACGACCGCAAGGUUGAAACUCAAAGGAAUUGACGGGGGCCCGCACAAGCGGUGGAUUAUGUGGUUUAAUUCGACGCAACGCGAAGAACCUUACCAGGAUUUGACAUCCCCUUGACCGCACUUUAAUCGGUGCUUUUCUUCGGAACAAGGGAGACAGGUGGUGCAUGGUUGUCGUCAGCUCGUGUCGUGAGAUGUUGGGUUAAGUCCCGCGAGGA